CCUACGGGAGGCUGCAGUGGGGAAUAUUGCACAAUGGGGGAAACCCUGAUGCAGCGACGCCGCGUGAGUGAAGAAGUAUCUCGGUACGUAAAGCUCUAUCAGCAGGGAAGAAAAUGACGGUACCUGACUAAGAAGCCCCGGCUAACUACGUGCCAGCAGCCGCGGUAAUACGUAGGGGGCAAGCGUUAUCCGGAUUGAUUGGGGUUAAAGGGUGCGUAGGCGGGCUGUUAAGUCCGCGGUAAAAUGUCGGGGCUAAACCCCGGCCUGCCGUUGAACCUGGCGGCCUCGAGUGGGCGAGAAGUAUGCGGAAUGCGUGGUGUAGCGGUGAAAUGCAUAGAUAUCACGCAGAACUCCGAUUGCGAAGGCAGCAUACCGGCGCCCGACUGACGCUGAGGCACGAAAGCGUGGGUAUCGAACAGGAUUAGAUACCCCUGUAGUC
rnacentral:rRNA from 1 species